rnacentral:rRNA from 1 species
GAUGAACGCUGGCGGCGUGCCUAAUACAUGCAAGUCGAGCGAACAGACGAGGAGCUUGCUCCUCUGACGUUAGCGGCGGACGGGUGAGUAACACGUGGAUAACCUACCUAUAAGACUGGGAUAACUUCGGGAAACCGGAGCUAAUACCGGAUAAUAUAUUGAACCGCAUGGUUCAAUAGUGAAAGACGGUUUUGCUGUCACUUAUAGAUGGAUCCGCGCCGCAUUAGCUAGUUGGUAAGGUAACGGCUUACCAAGGCAACGAUGCGUAGCCGACCUGAGAGAGUGAUCGGCCACACGGGAACUGAGACACGGUCCAGACUCCUACGGGAGGCAGCAGUAGGGAAUCUUCCGCAAAGGGCGAAAGCCUGACGGAGCAACGCCGCGUGAGUGAUGAAGGUCUUCGGAUCGUAAAACUCUGUUAUUAGGGAAGAACAAAUGUGUAAGUAACUAUGCACGUCUUGACGGUACCUAAUCAGAAAGCCACGGCUAACUACGUG